AGGCGGCGACGGGUAGCCGGCCUGAGAGGGUGACCGGCCACAUUGGGACUGAGAUACGGCCCAGACUCCUACGGGAGGCAGCAGUGGGGAAUAUUGCACAAUGGGCGCAAGCCUGAUGCAGCAACGCCGCGUGCGGGAUGACGGCCUUCGGGUUGUAAACCGCUUUCAGCAGGGACGAAGCUUUUUGUGACGGUACCUGCAGAAGAAGCACCGGCUAACUACGUGCCAGCAGCCGCGGUGAUACGUAGGGUGCGAGCGUUGUCCGGAUUUAUUGGGCGUAAAGGGCUCGUAGGCGGUUGAUCGCGUCGGAAGUGGAAACUUGAUGCUUAACGUUGAGCGUGCUUUCGAUACGGGUUGACUUGAGGAAGGUAGGGGAGAAUGGAAUUCCUGGUGGAGCGGUGGAAUGCGCAGAUAUCAGGAGGAACACCAGUGGCGAAGGCGGUUCUCUGGACCUUUCCUGACGCUGAGGAGCGAAAGCGUGGGGAGCGAACAGGCUUAGAUACCCUGGUAGUCCACGCUGUAAACGGUGGGUACUAGGUGUGGGGUCCAUUCCACGGAUUCUGUGCCGUAGCUAACGCAUUAAGUACCCCGCCUGGGGAGUACGGCCGCAAGGCUAAAACUCAAAGGAAUUGACGGGGCCCCGCACAAGCGGCGGAGCAUGCGGAUUAAUUCGAUGCAACGCGAAGAACCUUACCUGGGUUUGACAUGGAUCGGGAGCUUCCAGAGAUGGUUGUGCCUCUUUUGGGGUCGGUUCACAGGUGGUGCAUGGCUGUCGUCAGCUCGUGUCGUGAGAUGUUGGGUUAAGUCCCGCACGAGCGCAACCCUCGUCCACUGUUGCCAGCAAUUCGGUUGGGGACUCAGUGGAGACCGCCGGGUCAACUCGGAGGAAG
rnacentral:rRNA from 1 species